CCAGGGAUUAGAUACCCUGUUACACUUUAUUUAAAUGAUAAUUACCUGGGUACUAAGCAGCUAUUAUCUUGAAACUCAAAGGAUUUGGCGGUAACCUAGUCUAUUUAGAGGAACCUGUCCUGUAAUCGAUAGUCCACGCAAUAUCUUGCUUUAUCUUGUAGAAACCAGCUUGUAUACCGUCAUUAUUAGAUAACUUUAAAAAAAUUAUAGAGUUAUUGCAAUAGUUUAGCUAAUAAAUUAGAUCAAGGUGCAGCUUAUGGUAGAGUAGAGAUGGGUUACAAUAUAAUAGGCAUACACGGAGUAAUAAAUGAAUACUUAUUAUGAAGGUGGAUUUAAGAGUAAAAAGAUUUUAAUAAGAUUUUUUGACUUUAGCUCUAGGUUAUGUACACAUCGCCCGUCACAAGCGGGA
rnacentral:rRNA from 1 species